rnacentral:rRNA from 1 species
ACGCUCGACACCUACGGGAGGUAGCAGUGAGGAAUAUUGGUCAAUGGGCGCUAGCCUGAACCAGCCAAGUAGCGUGAAGGAUGAAGGCUCUAUGGGUCGUAAACUUCUUUUAUAUAAGAAUAAAGUGCAGUAUGUAUACUGUUUUGUAUGUAUUAUAUGAAUAAGGAUCGGCUAACUCCGUGCAAGCAGCCGCGGUAAUCUGAGCGGGCUGGCAAGGC